AUUUAAGCAUUCUUCAUUCAUCUACUGUUCACAAACCCGUCAAACAGUAACAAAAACAACAGAAAAAUAUCAUCACACAAUCUCUCACGUAUGUAUAUGUAUAUAUAAUAUAUAAUGCACCAUU
rnacentral:ribozyme from 1 species